CAAGUCGAACGAUGAAGGAGGAGCUUGCUCCUCCGGAUUAGUGGCGAACGGGUGAGUAAUACGUGAGCAAUGUGCCCUUGACUCUGGGAUAAGCGCUGGAAACGGCGUCUAAUACCGGAUACGACCCUCGGAGGCAUCUCCUGAUGGUGGAAAGAACUUCGGUCAAGGAUCAGCUCACGGCCUAUCAGCUAGUUGGUGAGGUAACGGCUCACCAAGGCGACGACGGGUAGCCGGCCUGAGAGGGUGACCGGCCACACUGGGACUGAGACACGGCCCAGACUCCUACGGGAGGCAGCAGUGGGGAAUAUUGCACAAUGGGCGCAAGCCUGAUGCAGCAACGCCGCGUGAGGGACGAAGGCCUUCGGGUUGUAAACCUCUUUUAGCAGGGAAGAAGCGAAAGUGACGGUACCUGCAGAAAAAGCACCGGCUAACUACGUGCCAGCAGCCGCGGUAAUACGUAGGGUGCAAGCGUUGUCCGGAAUUAUUGGGCGUAAAGAGCUCGUAGGCGGUUUGUCGCGUCUGCUGUGAAAACCCGAGGCUCAACCUCGGGCUUGCAGUGGGUACGGGCAGACUAGAGUGCGGUAGGGGAGAUUGGAAUUCCUGGUGUAGCGGUGGAAUGCGCAGAUAUCAGGAGGAACACCGAUGGCGAAGGCAGAUCUCUGGGCCGUAACUGACGCUGAGGAGCGAAAGCAUGGGGAGCAAACAGGCUUAGAUACCCUGGUAGUCCAUGCCGUAAACGUUGGGAACUAGAUGUGGGGACCAUUCCACGGUCUCCGUGUCGUAGCUAACGCAUUAAGUUCCCCGCCUGGGGAGUACGGCCGCAAGGCUAAAACUCAAGGGAUUGACGGGGGCCCGCACAAGCGGCGGAGCAUGCGGAUUAAUUCGAUGCAACGCGAAGAACCUUACCAAGGCUUGACAUAUACCGGAAACGGCCAGAGAUGGUCGCCCGCAGGUCGGUAUACAGGUGGUGCAUGGGUGUCGUCAGCUCGUGUCGUGAGAUGUUGGUUAAGUCCCGCAACGAGCGCACCUCGUCCUAUGUUGCCAGCACGUAUGUGGGACUCAUGGGAU
rnacentral:rRNA from 1 species